AACAUCGCUCUUUGAUAAAAAAGUUUUAUAUAUAAAGAGUCCUGCCUGCCCAGUGACAAGUUAAACGGCCGCGGUAUUUUGACCGUGCAAAGGUAGCAUAAUCAUUUGCCUCUUAAAUGGGGGCUGGUAUGAAUGGCAAGACGGGGGUUAAGCUGUCUCUUUUUUUUACCUUAAAAUUUAUUUCUUCGUGAAGAAGCGGAGAUAAGAUCGUAGGACGAGAAGACCCUAUUGAGCUUAAGUAUAAACAAAUAAUAAGUAUGGAUUAGUGCUAUUUGCUAAUUAUUACUAGUAGGUAAUAAAAAUUUACUUUUGGGCAUGGUUAUAUUAUAUUAUUAUUAUUUUGAUUGGGGCAAUCACGGAGAAAAUUUACCCUCCGUUACAAAUAUUAAAAUUAAGAAGGUACCUCUUCUAAAUAUAAAGUCUUAUAUGUUAGUGAUCCACUAAGAAGUGAGCAAAGGAACAAGUUACCAUAGGGAUAACAGCGUAAUUUUUUUGGAGAGUUCAUAUUGAUAAAAAAGUUUGCGACCUCGAUGUUGGAUCGGGAUUUCCAGGAGAUGCAGCAGUUUCCAAGGGUUGGUCUGUUCGACCAUUAAAGUCCUACGUG
rnacentral:rRNA from 1 species